rnacentral:rRNA from 1 species
GAUGAACGCUGGCGGCGUGCCUAAUACAUGCAAGUCGAGCGAACAGACGAGGAGCUUGCUCCUCUGACGUUAGCGGCGGACGGGUGAGUAACACGUGGAUAACCUACCUAUAAGACUGGGAUAACUUCGGGAAACCGGAGCUAAUACCGGAGAAUAUAUUGAACCGCAUGGUUCAAUAGUGAAAGACGGUUUUGCUGUCACGUAUAGAUGGAUCCGCGCCGCAUUAGCUAGUUGGUAAGGUAACGGCUUACCAAGGCAACGAUGCGUAGCCGACCUGAGAGAGUGGUAGGCCACACUGGAACUGAGACACGGUCCAGACUCCUGCGGGAGGCAGCAGUAUGGUAUCUUCCGCAGUGGGCGAAAGCCUGACGGAGCAACGCCGCGUGAGUUGUGAAGGUCUUCGGAUCGUAAAACUCUGUUAUUAGGGAAGAACAAAUGUGUAAGUAACUAUGCACGUCUUGACGGUACCUAGUCAGAAAGCCCCGGCUAACUACGUG